AAUCUAUUGAGUGGUUUAUGUUCGAAAAUCUGAAGUUACGGUUAAAAAACUGAAUUUUUUUUUGUGAAAUUGACAAAAUGAGAUUAGGGGGGUAGGGUACUAAAAGAAAAAUUUUGACCAUUUUAAAGUGAUUGUGAAGGACAACGACUAUAUAGGUGUUGUAGAGGAUUGGUGCAUCGUUUAAGAAAAUCUCCAGAGUGGUUUAUGUUCGAAAAUCUGAAGUUACGGUUAAAAAACUGAAAAUUUUAUUGUGAAAUUGACAAAAUGAGAUUAGGGUGGUAGGGCACUAAAAGAAAAAUUUGGACCAUUUUAAAGAGAUUGUGACGGAGAACGACUAUAUAGGUGUUGUAGAGGAGACAUUGGCGCAUUGUUUAAGAAAAUCUCCUGAGUGGUUUAUGUUCGAAAAUCUGAAGUUACGGUUAAAAAACUGAAAAUUUUAUUGUGAAAUUGACAAAAUGAGAUUAGGGGGGUAGGGCACAAAAGAAAAAUUAGGACCAUUUUAAAGAGAUUGUGACGGACAACGACUAUAUAGGUGUUGUAGAGGAGACAAUGGCGCAUCGUUUAAGAAAAUCUCCAGAGUGGUUUAUGUUCGAAAAUCUGAAGUUACGAUUAAAAAACUGAAACUUUUAUUGUGAAAUUGACAAAAUGAGAUUAGGGGGGUAGGGCAAUUUAAGUUAAUUUUUGACCAAUUUCAAGAGAUUGUGACGGGCAACGACUAUAUAGGUGUUGUAGAGGAGACAAUGGCGCAUCGUUUAAGAAAAUCUCCUGAGUGGUUUAUGUUCGAAAAUCUGAAGUUACGGUUAAAAAACUGAAAUUGUGAAAUUGACAAAACGAGAUUAGGGGUGUAGGCCAAUUUAAGUUAGUUUUGGACCAAUUUCAAGAGAUUGUGACGGGCAACAACUAUAUAGAUGUUGUAGAGAAGACAAUGGCGCAUCGUUUAAGAAAAUCUCCAGAGUGGUUUAUGUUCGAAAAUCUGAAGUUACGGUUAAAAAACUGAAAAUUUUAUUGUGAAAUUGACAAAAUUAGAUUAGGGGGGUAGGCCAAUUUAAGUUAAUUUUGGACCAAUUUCAAGAAAUUGUGACGGGCAACGACUAUAUGGAUGUUGUAGAGGAGACAAUGGCGCAUCGUUUAAGAAAAUCUCCAGAGUGGUUUAUGUUCGAAAAUCUGAACUUACGGUUAAAAAACUGAAAUUGUGAAAUUGACAAAAUGAGAUUAGGGGGGUAGGCCAAUUUAAGUUAAUUUUGGACCAAUUUCAAGAGAUUGUGACGGGCAACGACUAUAUAGGUGUUGUAGAGGAGACAAUGGCGCGUCGUUUAAGAAAAUCUCCAGAGUGGUUUAUGUUCGAAAAUCUGAAGUUACGGUUAAAAAACUGAAUAUUUUAUUGUGAAAUUGACAAAAUGAGAUUGAGGGGGUAGGGCACUAAAAGAAAAAUUUGGACCAUUUUGAAGAGAUUGUGACGGGCAACGACUAUAUAGGUGUUGUAGAGAAGACAUUGGCGCAUCGUUUAAGAAAAUCUGAAGUAACGGUUAAAAAACUGAAAAUUUUAUUGUGAAAUUGACAAAAUGAGAUUAGGGGGGUAGGCCAAUUUAAAUUAAUUUUGGACCAAUUUCAAGAGAUUGUGACGGGCAACGACUAUAUAGGUGUUGUAGAAGAGACAAUGGCGCGUCGUUUAAGAAAAUCUCCAGAGUGGUUUAUGUUCGAAAAUCUGAAGUUACGGUUAAAAAACUGAAAAUUUUAUUGUGAAAUUGACAAAAUGAGAUUAGGGGGGUAGGGCACUAAAAGAAAAAUUUGGACCAUUUUAAAGAGAUUGUGACGGAGAACGACUAUAUAGGUGUUGUAGAGGAGACAAUGGCGCAUCGUUUAAGAAAAUCUCCAGAGUGGUUUAUGUUCGAAAAUCUGAAGUUACGGUUAAAAAACUGAAAAUUUUAUUGUGAAAUUGACAAAAUGAGAUUAAGGGGGUAGGGCACUAAAAGAAAAAUUUGGACCAUUUUGAAGAGAUUGUGACGGGCAACGACUAUAUAGGUGUUGUAGAGGAGACAUUGGCGCAUCGCUUAAGAAAAUCUCCUGAGUGGUUUAUGUUCGAAAAUCUGAAGUUACGGUUAAAAAACUGAAAAUUUUAUUGUGAAAUUGACAAAAUGAGAUUAGGGGGUAGGGCACAAAAGAAAAAUUAGGACCAUUUUAAAGAGAUUGUGACGGACAACGACUAUAUAGGUGUUGUAGAGGAGACAAUGGCGCAUCGUUUAAGAAAAUCUCCAGAGUGGUUUAUGUUCGAAAAUCAGAACUUACUGUUAAAAAACUGAAAAUUUUAUUGUGAAAUUGACAAAAUGAGAUUAGGGGGUAGGGCACAAAAGAAAAAUUAGGACCAUUUUAAAGAGAUUGUGACGGGCAACGACUACAUAGGUGUUGUAGAGGAGACAUUGGCGCAUCGUUUAAGAAAAUCUCCAGAGUGGUUUAUGUUCGAAAAUCUGAAGUUACGGUUAAAAAACUGAAAAUUUUAUUGUGAAAUUGACAAAAUGAGAUUAGGGGGGUAGGGCAACUUAAGUUAAUUUUGGACCAAUUUUAAGAGGUUGUGACGGGCAACGACUAUAUAGGUGUUGUAGAGGAGACAAUGGCGCAUCGUUUAAGAAAAUCUCCUGAGUGGUUUAUGUUCGAAAAUCUGAAGUUACGGUUAAAAAACUGAAAUUGUGAAAUUGACAAAAUGAGAUAAGGGGGGUAGGCCAAUUUAAGUUAAUUUUGGACCAAUUUCAAGAGAUUGUGACGGGCAACGACUAUAUAGGUGUUGUAGAGGAAACAAUGGCGCAUCGUUUAAGAAAAUCUCCAGAGUGGUUUAUGUUCGAAAAUCUGAAGUUACGGUUAAAAAACUGAAAAUUUUAUUGUGAUAUUGACAAAAUGAGAUUAGGGGGGUAGGGCACUAAAA